rnacentral:lncRNA from 1 species
CGGGGCCCACCUCCCGCGGGGGCUGUGAAGUCGGGGAAUUGGGGUCGGGGGACCCGUGGUGACCCGGGGUUGACCUCGCUCAGAGCUUGGCCGAGGACACUUGAUUGCAGAGAAGGCCCAGGGGCCGAGACCCCCCGGCGUGUCCAGGGACACACAGCCUGGGCUUUGCUCCUCUGGGUGACGGGGGCGGGAAGCCCGUGUCGGGAGGGCUCGUGGCCCAGUCCCAGGGCCUGGCCGCCCAGCUCCGUGGGCCCGUGGGGAGGCCGGAGGCCUGGGGGAGUCGGUGACCCCGCGGGUGCGGCGAGCAGAGGAGCCGGCGCGGAUCUGGGGGUCGGGGCGCGGCCCUGGUGGGGACGGGCCGCCUCCCUGGGGGUCGUGCCUCGGCCGGGGCCGGGCCCUCUCUGCAGCCUGCUGUUGUCCAGGCCCACGGGCCGCUCGCCUGCUGUGUGCCCAGCAGCACAGGCUCGGGGGGACCUGCAGGCCCCCCGCCCCCGGUGGCAGCCUGGUCCCCGUCCAGCUGCCUCCCGGGCCAGCCUGGGCUUCAGCAGGUGGAGGUGGAGCGUGACCGACCCCUUCCUGCCUCCCCUCUUCCCCUCGGGGUGGAGGGCGGAGGGCGUCAGGUCUGCCCUCCUCCUGCUGACUGUGUGGCUCUGGGGCUUCUCCAGGGAACGUGCCCGGGGCGUGGGGGGCAGGUGUCCCGGUCCUGACACUGUCCCUGUGCACGAGGGUCGGGCGCGUGUGGGGGUCCCCGCCUUCGCAGGUGGCCCCAGGGCUCGCAGGCCCCGCCUCCGCCUGGUCCGGAGCAGUGCAGGGCCCGCUGCAGAGGGGCCGGGGGUCCUCGGCCUGACGCAGUCUCCCCCUUACCAGGGACAGGUCUGGCUUGUCAUAGUGGAGGCCCAGCCUGUGGCAGUUUCCUGCCGUGUGCCCACCUGUGCUUUGUGUACCUACCCUGGACAGGCGUCCUCUGGCGUCCUCAGGUGUGCAGGCACUUUCUCCUGGAGGCUGGUUUCCCUUUUCAGUCUCUCUAUUCAGUGCCACUGA